rnacentral:rRNA from 1 species
UACGGAGGGGGGCUAGCGUUGUUCGGAAUUACUGGGCGUAAAGGGCGCGUAGGUGGCCUUCUAAGUCAUGCGUGAAAUCCCCGGGCUCAACCCGGGAACUGCGUCUGAUACUGGAAGGCUUGAAUCCGGGAGAGGGAUGCGGAAUUCCAGGUGUAGCGGGUGAAAUACGUAGAUAUCUGGAGGAACACCGGUGGCGAAGGCGGCAUCCUGGACCGGUAUUGACACUGAGGCGCGAAAGCCAGGGGAGCAAACGGG